GCCGGGCAUGGUGGCACAUGCCUGCAGUCCUAGCUACUCGGGAGGCUGAGUGGGGGGGAUUGCCUGGGCCCAGGAGCUCUGGGCUGUAGUGUGCCAUGCCGAUCAGGUGUCCACACUGAGUUCAGCAUCAAUAUGGUGACCUCCUGGGAGCAGGGGACCACCAGGCUGCUUAAGGAGGGUGAACUGGCCCAGGUUGAAAACAGAGCAGGUCAAAACUCCCCUGCUGAUCAGUAGUGGGAUUGUGCCUGUGAAUAGCCACUGAACUCCAGCCUGGGCAACAUAACAAGACCCCGUCUCU
rnacentral:SRP_RNA from 1 species